UACGUAGGGGGCGAGCGUUGUCCGGAUUCAUUGGGCGUAAAGCGCGCGCAGGCGGCCGCGAGAGCCCGGCGUGAAAGCCCCCGGCUCAACCGGGGGAGGCCGUCGGGGACCUCGGGGCUGGAGGCCGGUAGGGGCGAGCGGAAUUCCCGGUGUAGUGGUGGAAUGCGUAGAGAUCGGGAGGAACACCGGUGGCGGAGGCGGCUCGCUGGGCCGGUCCUGACGCUCGGGCGCGAAAGCGUGGGGAGCGAUCCGG
rnacentral:rRNA from 1 species